rnacentral:pre_miRNA from 1 species
GGCCUCCCUUUUCGGGGCGAUCAAUCAUGGGGCUCUGUGAUUGAUGGCUGUGCAGAGGGAGGCC